CAGCGAAACUGCGAAUGGCUCAUUAUAUAAGUUAUCGUUUAUUUGAUAGUACCUUACUACUUGGAUAACCGUGGUAAUUCUAGAGCUAAUACAUGCUAAAAAUCCCGACUUCGGAAGGGAUGUAUUUAUUAGAUUAAAAACCAAUGCCCUUUGGGCUCCUUGGUGAUUCAUAAUAACUUUUCGAAUCGCAUGGCCUUGUGCCGGCGAUGGUUCAUUCAAAUUUCUUCCCUAUCAACUUUCGAUGUUUGGGUAUUGGCCAAACAUGGUCGCAACGGGUAACGGAGGGUUAGGGCUCGACCCCGGAGAAGGAGCCUGAGAAACGGCUACUACAUCCAAGGAAGGCAGCAGGCGCGCAAAUUACCCAAUCCCGAUUCGGGGAGGUAGUGACAAUAAAUACUGAUACAGGGCUCUUUUGGGUCUUGUAAUUGGAAUGAGUACAAUUUAAAUCUCUUAACGAGGAACAAUUGGAGGGCAAGUCUGGUGCCAGCAGCCGCGGUAAUUCCAGCUCCAAUAGCGUAUAUUAAAGUUGUUGUGGUUAAAAAGCUCGUAGUUGAACCUUGGGCCUGGCUGGCCGGUCCGCCUCACCGCGUGUACUGGUCCGGCCGGGCCUUUCCCUCUGUGGAACCUCAUGCCCUUCACUGGGUGUGGCGGGGAAACAGGACUUUUACUUUGAAAAAAUUAGAGUGCUCCAGGCAGGCCUAUGCUCGAAUACAUUAGCAUGGAAUAAUAAAAUAGGACGUGUGGUUCUAUUUUGUUGGUUUCUAGGACCGCCGUAAUGAUUAAUAGGGACAGUCGGGGGCAUCAGUAUUCAAUUGUCAGAGGUGAAAUUCUUGGAUUUAUUGAAGACUAACUACUGCGAAAGCAUUUGCCAAGGAUGUUUUCAUUAAUCAGGAACGAAAGUUAGGGGAUCGAAGACGAUCAGAUACCGUCGUAGUCUUAACCAUAAACUAUGCCGACUAGGGAUCGGACGAUGUUAUUUUUUGACGCGUUCGGCACCUUACGAGAAAUCAAAGUG
rnacentral:rRNA from 1 species